CGACGAUGAAGGAGGAGCUUGCUCCUCCGGAUUAGUGGCGAACGGGUGAGUAAUACGUGAGCAAUGUGCCCUUGACUCUGGGAUAAGCGCUGGAAACGGCGUCUAAUACCGGAUACGACCCUCGGAGGCAUCUCCUGAGGGUGGAAAGAACUUCGGUCAAGGAUCAGCUCACGGCCUAUCAGCUUGUUGGUGAGGUAACGGCUCACCAAGGCGACGACGGGUAGCCGGCCUGAGAGGGUGACCGGCCACACUGGGACUGAGACACGGCCCAGACUCCUACGGGAGGCAGCAGUGGGGAAUAUUGCACAAUGGGCGCAAGCCUGAUGCAGCAACGCCGCGUGAGGGACGACGGCCUUCGGGUUGUAAACCUCUUUUAGCAGGGAAGAAGCGAAAGUGACGGUACCUGCAGAAAAAGCACCGGCUAACUACGUGCCAGCAGCCGCGGUAAUACGUAGGGUGCAAGCGUUGUCCGGAAUUAUUGGGCGUAAAGAGCUCGUAGGCGGUCUGUCACGUCUGCUGUGAAAACCCGAGGCUCAACCUCGGGCUUGCAGUGGGUACGGGCAGACUAGAGUGCGGUAGGGGAGAUUGGAAUUCCUGGUGUAGCGGUGGAAUGCGCAGAUAUCAGGAGGAACACCGAUGGCGAAGGCAGAUCUCUGGGCCGUAACUGACGCUGAGGAGCGAAAGCAUGGGGAGCAAACAGGCUUAGAUACCCUGGUAGUCCAUGCCGUAAACGUUGGGAACUAGAUGUGGGGACCAUUCCACGGUCUCCGUGUCGUAGCUAACGCAUUAAGUUCCCCGCCUGGGGAGUACGGCCGCAAGGCUAAAACUCAAAGGAAUUGACGGGGGCCC
rnacentral:rRNA from 1 species